rnacentral:rRNA from 1 species
GCUUCUUUUUCCCCGGAGCUUGCUCCACCGGAAAAAGAAGAGUGGCGAACGGGUGAGUAACACGUGGGUAACCUGCCCAUCAGAAGGGGAUAACACUUGGAAACAGGUGCUAAUACCGUAUAACAAUCGAAACCGCAUGGUUUUGAUUUGAAAGGCGCUUUCGGGUGUCGCUGAUGGAUGGACCCGCGGUGCAUUAGCUAGUUGGUGAGGUAACGGCUCACCAAGGCCACGAUGCAUAGCCGACCUGAGAGGGUGAUCGGCCACAUUGGGACUGAGACACGGCCCAAACUCCUACGGGAGGCAGCAGUAGGGAAUCUUCGGCAAUGGACGAAAGUCUGACCGAGCAACGCCGCGUGAGUGAAGAAGGUUUUCGGAUCGUAAAACUCUGUUGUUAGAGAAGAACAAGGAUGAGAGUAACUGUUCAUCCCUUGACGGUAUCUAACCAGAAAGCCACGGCUAACUACGUGCCAGCAGCCGCGGUAAUACGUAGGUGGCAAGCGUUGUCCGGAUUUAUUGGGCGUAAAGCGAGCGCAGGCGGUUUCUUAAGUCUGAUGUGAAAGCCCCCGGCUCAACCGGGGAGGGUCAUUGGAAACUGGGAGACUUGAGUGCAGAAGAGGAGAGUGGAAUUCCAUGUGUAGCGGUGAAAUGCGUAGAUAUAUGGAGGAACACCAGUGGCGAAGGCGGCUCUCUGGUCUGUAACUGACGCUGAGGCUCGAAAGCGUGGGGAGCAAACAGGAUUAGAUACCCUGGUAGUCCACGCCGUAAACGAUGAGUGCUAAGUGUUGGAGGGUUUCCGCCCUUCAGUGCUGCAGCUAACGCAUUAAGCACUCCGCCUGGGGAGUACGACCGCAAGGUUGAAACUCAAAGGAAUUGACGGGGGCCCGCACAAGCGGUGGAGCAUGUGGUUUAAUUCGAAGCAACGCGAAGAACCUUACCAGGUCUUGACAUCCUUUGACCACUCUAGAGAUAGAGCUUCCCCUUCGGGGGCAAAGUGACAGGUGGUGCAUGGUUGUCGUCAGCUCGUGUCGUGAGAUGUUGGGUUAAGUCCCGCAACGAGCGCAACCCUUAUUGUUAGUUGCCAUCAUUUAGUUGGGCACUCUAGCAAGACUGCCGGUGACAAACCGGAGGAAGGUGGGGAUGACGUCAAAUCAUCAUGCCCCUUAUGACCUGGGCUACACACGUGCUACAAUGGGAAGUACAACGAGUCGCGAAGUCGCGAGGCUAAGCUAAUCUCUUAAAGCUUCUCUCAGUUCGGAUUGUAGGCUGCAACUCGCCUACAUGAAGCCGGAAUCGCUAGUAAUCGCGGAUCAGCACGCCGCGGUGAAUACGUUCCCGGGCCUUGUACACACCGCCCGUCACACCACGAGAGUUUGUAACACCCGAAGUCGGUGAGUAACCUUUGGAGCCAGC